AUACGUAGGGGGCAAGCGUUGUCCGGAAUCACUGGGUGUAAAGGGUGCUCAGGCGGAUCGGUAAGUCAAGGGUGAAAUUUCAUAGCUUAACUGUGAAUGUGCUUUUGAUACUGUCGGUCUAGAGUUCAGAAGAGGGCAAUGGAAUUCUUGGUGUAGCGGUGAAAUGCGUAGAUAUCAAGAAGAACACCAGUUGCGAAGGCGGUUGCCUGGUCUGUAACUGACGCUCAAGCACGAAAGCGUGGGGAUCAAACAGGAUUAGAUACCCUGGUAGUCCACGCCCUAAACGAUGAAUACUCGGUGUCGGGUCGUAAGAUUCGGUGCCUAAGCUAACGCUUUAAGUAUUCCACCUGGGGAGUACGAUCGCAAGGUUGAA
rnacentral:rRNA from 1 species